rnacentral:rRNA from 1 species
CCAAGGAAGGCAGCAGGCGCGCAAAUUACCCACUCCCAGCUCGGGGAGGUAGUGACGAAAAAUAACGAUACGGGACUCAUCCGAGGCCCCGUAAUCGGAAUGAGUACACUCUAAACCCUUUAACGAGGAUCAAUUGGAGGGCAAGUCUGGUGCCAGCAGCCGCGGUAAUUCCAGCUCCAAUAGCGUAUAUUAAAGUUGUUGCGGUUAAAAAGCUCGUAGUCGAAUUUGUGUCUCGCGCCGUUCGGUUCAUCGUUCGCGGUGUUAACUGGCGUGUCGCGAGACGUCCUGCCGGCGGGUCGUUCGCAAGGACGGCCCAACUGACCCCGCCGCGGUGCUCUUCAUUGAGUGUCGAGGUGGGCCGGCACGUUUACUUUGAACAAACUAAGGUGCUUAAAGCAGGCUGAAAUUUUGCCAGAAUAUUUUAUGCAUGGAAUAAUGAAACAGGACCUCGAUUCUAUUUUGUUGGUUUUCUGAACCUCGAGGUAAUGAUUAACAGGAACGGAUGGGGGCAUUCGUAUUGCGACGUUAGAGGUGAAAUUCUUGGAUCGUCGCAAGACGGACAGAAGCGAAAGCAUUUGCCAAAAACGUUUUCAUUGAUCAAGAACGAAAGUUAGAGGUUCGAAGGCGAUCAGAUACCGCCCUAGUUCUAACCAUAAACUAUGCCAGCUAGCGAUCCGCCGACGUUCCUCCGAUGACUCGGCGGGCAGCUUCCGGGAAACCAAAGCUUUUGGGUUCCGGGGGAAGUAUGGUUGCAAAGCUGAAACUUAAAGGAAUUGACGGAAGGGCACCACCAGGAGUGGAGCCUGCGGCUUAUUUUGACUCAACACGGGAAACCUCACCAGGCCCGGACACCGGAAGGAUUGACAGAUUGAGAGCUCUUUCUUGAUUCGGUGGGUGGUGGUGCAUGGCCGUUCUUAGUUGGUGGAGCGAUUUGUCUGGUUAAUUCCGAUAACGAAC